rnacentral:rRNA from 1 species
GACGAACGCUGGCGGCGUGCCUAAUACAUGCAAGUAGAACGCUGAAGGAGGAGCUUGCUUCUCCGGAUGAGUUGCGAACGGGUGAGUAACGCGUAGGUAACCUGCCUGGUAGCGGGGUAUAACUAUUGGAAACGAUAGCUAAUACCGCAUAACAGUAGAUAUCGCAUGAUAUCUGCUUGAAAGGUGCAAUUGCAUCACUACCAGAUGGACCUGCGUUGUAUUAGCUAGUUGGUGAGGUAACGGCUCACCAAGGCGACGAUACAUAGCCGACCUGAGAGGGGGAGCGGCCACACUGGGACUGAGACACGGCCCAGACUCCUACGGGAGGCAGCAGUAGGGAAUCUUCGGCAAUGGACGGAAGUCUGACCGAGCAACGCCGCGUGAGUGAAGAAGGUUUUCGGAUCGUAAAGCUCUGUUGUAAGAGAAGAACGAGUGUGAGAGUGGAAAGUUCACACUGUGACGGUAUCUGACCAGAAAGGGACGGCUAACUACGUG